rnacentral:lncRNA from 1 species
CGAAGGGGGCUGCCCGGGGCACGGCUCAUCCCCACACCUGCGCGCGGGUUGGGGGAAGAAUGUGGCCGGCGCAUUCCUCUGCUGGGGCCAGCGGGGGAGAACUUCCCACGUCGAGACUGGGUGAGGGGCUCAGCCAUCCGGCAUCUCGGAGGAGGGGGUCAAGCGCCUGGCCGGGCUCCUGCUCCGCGCCUCCCGCCUCCAAGGUCACUUCAGCCUCCCUGAAGACCGCCCGGCACGGCUCGGAGGCCGCGCACUGCAGCCAGCAAACCUGCGCCCGAGGGCAGAGAGUGAAGGAGGCUGGGUCCAGGCGUGCCCGGCCCUGCACUCCCCACACCGCAGGGUCCUCACGGGCCUUCCGGGACUCCCUUGGCCCCAGGGAGCGCAGCCCCGCGCUCUCCCCGACGCCACUGCCCCAUGCGGACCCCGCCCGCCCCCCAGGGAGCGGUCCCGGUCGGGGCCACGGCGAGGCUGUGGAGUACCUGGAGAAGGAGGAGAGACGCGAGAGGUCCACGAGGGAGCCCCAUGGCUGCAGAGAGAGGGGUGAAGCAGCUGCCGCGACGGCGGGCCGGUGUUCCGCUCAGCUCUUGCCCCUUUGAGCACCGCAGCCCCCGGGAGCCAGCGGGAGGAGGCCAGGUGAGCGCAGGUGGGUGCUGAUUGGUCCAGCGCCACGAGGUCCCGCCCCCUCGCAGGUGGGACCGAUGUGGGUGCGGUUGAGGCCCCAGCGAACCCCUCCUGGCCUCCCGGAUGCCCUCCUGCGCUCUCCUGGCUUUUCUGGAGCUGUUCUUUACAGGGACUCAGCCUCUGUCUCGCAGUUCUGGGUUAGAGGAGAAAAGAACACCCAGUGCACUCCUCAGCCUCCUCAGUACGGGAAGAGAAAUGUUUCCUUGCCUUGCGGCUACAGCGGAAAAAAGUGGAGACACAUCUGAAGUCGACUGAAAACGGAGGCUCCGCAUU